rnacentral:rRNA from 1 species
GACGAACGCUGGCGGCGUGCCUAAUACAUGCCAGUCGAGCGGACGAUUCGAAAGCUUGCUUUUGAAUCGUUAGCGGCGGACGGGUGAGUAACACGUGGGCAACCUGCCCUGUAGACGGGGAUAACACCGAGAAAUCGGUGCUAAUACCGGAUAACACGAAAUGUCGCAUGACGUUUCGUUGAAAGGCGGCGCAAGCUGCCGCUACAGGAUGGGCCCGCGGCGCAUUAGCUAGUUGGUGAGGUAACGGCUCACCAAGGCGACGAUGCGUAGCCGACCUGAGAGGGUGAUCGGCCACACUGGGACUGAGACACGGCCCAGACUCCUACGGGAGGCAGCAGUAGGGAAUCUUCCGCAAUGGACGAAAGUCUGACGGAGCAACGCCGCGUGAGCGAAGAAGGCCUUCGGGUCGUAAAGCUCUGUUGUUAGGGAAGAACAAGUAACGUAGUAACUGACGUUACUAUGACGGUACCUAACGAGAAAGCCACGGCUAACUACGUG